rnacentral:rRNA from 1 species
AACGCUGGCGGCGUGCCUAAUACAUGCAAGUCGAACGCACAGCGAUAGGUGCUUGCACCUAUCAAGUGAGUGGCGAACGGGUGAGUAACACGUGGACAACCUGCCUCAAGGCUGGGGAUAACAUUUGGAAACAGAUGCUAAUACCGAAUAAAACUUAGUGUCGCAUGACACCAGGUUAAAAGGCGCUACGGCGUCACCUAGAGAUGGAUCCGCGGUGCAUUAGUUAGUUGGUGAGGUAAAGGCUCACCAAGACAAUGAUGCAUAGCCGAGUUGAGAGACUGAUCGGCCACAUUGGGACUGAGACACGGCCCAAACUCCUACGGGAGGCUGCAGUAGGGAAUCUUCCACAAUGGGCGCAAGCCUGAUGGAGCAACGCCGCGUGUGUGAUGAAGGCCUUCGGGUCGUAAAGCACUGUUGUAUGGGAAGAACAGCUAGAAUAGGGAAUGAUUUUAGUGUGACGGUACCAUACCAGAAAGGGACGGCUAAAUACGUG